UCACGAUACAGAACAGUUUUUCAAAAGGACUUAACUGUAAAUGUGUACCUUUAUAUAUUUUUUUUUCAGAUUGAAGCUGAAGCACAACGCUCAAAUCCAGAGUCCUUCAAUCCUUCAUCUUGGGCUCCUGACAAUAGUUUCACAAUACUUAACUCUAACAGUCUAUCACCGUGCUUUCUAAUGAGCUGAAAGAGGCAAUAGCUGAACACAAGCUGCACUGGAAAAGUGAUGGGGAAAAGAGGGCCUACCAUCGGCAGGAGCAUCCAGGCAUCUUGUCUGCAACAUGGGGCAUAUGCUGCCUCAAACCCAGACCUGAACUAUGCUACACCAUAUCAUAUCUUUACAUUAGAUGCAGGGCUAUAUGGAAAGAAGACACCAGGAGAUAAAGGCAAGAGACACUUUCCACCUGCCCUGAAGUUCUGGUUGUUUGGCAAAAAAUAAAAAGCAGACUAAGUAAUGAGUGACUGGUUUGACAGCCUAGCAGUUAGUGUGCCUUGCUAUCCUGAGUCCAACUCUCAAACCCUUGCUUCAGUUUAAAUUCAGGACAGAAUAAUAUGCCAGUCACUUGCACCAACUUGACACAGCGUGCACAAAAUGGAUAUGAUGCUCAUUUGCUGUUUUGGAUUUAGUCUGAAGUGAAAGUGAGCAAUAUCUGAAUUGCAACUGCAAAACACCUGUUCUAGCACUGACUGAAAUUGAUUUAGCAUUAUAUAAAUUAGCAAGGCCUGUAUUACCUUGUAGCCUGGCUACACAGCUCGCACAUAUUGAGAUCUCCUUUCACCUUUGAUUUCAGGGGACCUCUUUGAACGUUACAGUAGAAGGGCCAGGAAAAGAACCAAGCUCC
rnacentral:lncRNA from 1 species